rnacentral:rRNA from 1 species
CCUACGGGUGGCUGCAGUGGGGGAUAUUGCACAAUGGGGGGAACCCUGAUGCAGCGACGCCGCGUGGGUGAAGGAGCGUUUCGGCGCGGUAAGCCCUAUCGGCAGGGAAGAAGGAGGACGGUACCUGACUAAGAAGCCCCGGCUAACUACGUGCCAGGAGCCGCGGUAAUACGUAGGGGGCAAGCGUUAUCCGGAUUUACGGGGUGUAAAGGGGGCGCAUACGGCAGCGCAAGUCCGGAGUGAAAGCCCGGGGCCCAACCCCGGGACUGCUCUUGGAACUGCGCGGCUGGAGUGCAGGAGGGGCAUGCGGAAUGCGCGGUGUAGCGGUGAAAUGCAUAGAUAUCGCGCAGAACCCCGAUUGCGAAGGCAGCGUGCCGUGCCGCCACUGACGCUGAGGCACGAAAGCGCGGGGAUCGAACAGGAUUAGAUACCCUUGUAGUC